CGGAAAUUAUCUCCCAAGGCGGAAGUAAACGGCGCGCGACGGUCGGUUGAAAAGUUGGCCGGGGCGGGCGAAGGCUGCGAGCGGGGCCGUCCGGGUGGUCUGGGCGACUGCCCCGAGGGCCCGCCACGCCCUGGGGCCAGCCCUGACCGUCUUACCUCAGUUUCCCCACCUGUAAGAGGGAUCCGCUGGCGGGUCCCUUUGCCAUCCCCCUUCUCUAAAUGGAGGACCCUUCCUGCCUCUUUGAGCUCCUGGGGGCUCUGGGAGCUCCAGGCGUCCUUAAGAGGCUUGUGGCCGCGUGGCUCCAAACUUGUUUUUGUUUUGUUUUGUUUUGUUUUGUUUUUUGAGACGGAGUCUCGCUCUGUCACCCAAGCUGGAGUGUAGCGGCGCGAUCACGGCUCACUGCAAGCUCCGCCUCCCGGGUUCUCGCCAUUCUCCUGCCUCAGCCUCCCGAGUACCUGGGACUAGAGGCGCCCGCCACCACACCUGGCUAAUUUUUUUGUAUAUUUUUUUUAGUAGAGACAGGGUUUCACCGUGUUGGCCAGGAUGGUCUCAACCUCCUGACCUCGUGAUCCGCCUGCCUCCGCCUCCCAAAGUGCUGAGAUUGCAGGCGUGAGCCACCGCCCCCGGCCCAAACAUUUUUUUUUUUUUUUUUUUUUUUUUUUUGAGAUGGAGUCUCCCUCUGUUGCCCAGGCUGGAGUGCAAUGGCAUGAUCUCGGCUCACUGCAACCUCCACCUCCUGGGUUCAAGUGAUUCUCCUGCCUCAGCCUCCCGAGUAACUGGGACUACAGGCGCGCAGGCCACCACCCCUGGCUAAUUUUUGUAUUUUUAGUAGAGACAGGUUUCCACCAUGUUGGCCAGGUGGUCUGCCCACUUUGGCCUCCCAAAGUGCUGGGAUUACAUAUGUGAGCCACCAUGCCCGGCCUCAACUUUUUUUGAGACAGAGUCUCACUCUGUUGCCCAGGCUGGAGUGCAGUGACAUUAUCUCAGCUCACUGCAGCUUCCACCUCCCAGGCUCAAGCAAUCCUCCCACCUCAGCCUCUCCAAUAGCUGGGACCACAGGUGCGCACCACCACACCCAGCUAAUUUUUGUAUUUUUUUGUAGAGACAGGGUCUCACUUUGUUGUCCAGGCUGGUCUCCAACUCCUGAGCUCAAGGGAUCCUCCCGCCUUGGCCUCCAUAAGUGCUGGGAUUACAGGUGUAAGCCGCUACUUCCUGUCGUCUACUCUCUGUAUUUUGCAAAUAAAACGUUUGCAGGUCAUGUCAAACAUCAAGUGAUUGAUCUGUGGGGACGCAGGCGCCUUCCUCAGAGCCCCUCCCUCCCCUGCUUCUGCCCCAGCCAGCCUUGUGCAUCUGCAGAUACCGAGGCUGCUCAGGGGCGCUCUGCUGUCCACUGAGUGCGAGGAGUCUCAGGCGCUGCAGGGACCCGGGUGCUGCCACACGGGUGGACAGCCCAUGGUGGCCGGUUGGAGGCCUCUAGCACAGACCCUGCACACCUGGAGGCUUCUGCUGGCAAAGCCCUGGGACCUAAGACCAGAUGCCCAGGGCUAUGGCCCACUUGGGAUGACACACAGGGUCCCCAGAUGUGUGCAUCUACCCCAGUGACCCCCUUUUUGGGAUGCUUGUGUCUGUUCUGGGGCUGCUCUGGGCCCCAGGGGUUGGGGGUGGG
rnacentral:lncRNA from 1 species